rnacentral:rRNA from 1 species
UAUCUCUGUAGAGUCUGCAUAUCAAUAAGCGGAGGAAAAGAAACUAACUAGGAUUCCCUCAGUAACGGCGAGUGAAGCGGGAAGAGCUCAAAUUUGAAAUCUUCAAGGUUCUACCUUGACGAAUUGUAGUUUAAAGAAGUGUUUUCUGUUGGAGUUUUGGUAAAAGUUCUUUGGAAUAGGACAUCAUAGAGGGUGAGAAUCCCGUAUUUGACCAUUAUUUCCAGCUUUGUGAUACACUUUCAAAGAGUCGGAUUGUUUGGGAAUGCAGUCAAAAAUGGGUGGUAAAUUUCAUCUAAAGCUAAAUAUUGGCGAGAGACCGAUAGCGAACAAGUACCGUGAGGGAAAGAUGAAAAGAACUUUGAAAAGAGAGUUAAACAGUACGUGAAAUUGUCAAAAGGGAAGCGUUUGACACCAGUGUUGUUUUCUCGAAAAUCAAUUAAAAAAGGCCUGGAUUUUGUGUUGUAUUGACCUUAUAAGCUUUCUGCACUCUUUUCUUGUCUUUUUUAAUGCACUUUUCGUUUAACAAGUCAACAUCAAUUUCUUUUGUUGUAAAAGGGUCAUUGGAAGGUGGCUUUCUUUUCGGAGAAAGUGUUUAUAGCCUUUGGACUUCUGCAAUCGGAGAGAUUGAGGUCUGCAGCGUAGAUCCUUCGGGGUUAGAUACAUUUGUGCUAAGUUAUAGCCUUUCAUAGACAACUUGUUGACUAUGAUUAGUCAUUGUAGCUUACUCGCUUACUGCUAUUUUACCUACGCUUAGGAUGUUGAUGUGAUACUGCGAGCA